UACGGGGGGAGCAAGCGUUGUUCGGAUUUAUUGGGCGUAAAGAGCGUGUAGGCGGCCCGACAGGUCCGUUGUGAAAACUCGAGGCUCAACCUCGAGACGUCGAUGGAAACCGUCGGGCUAGAGUCCGGAAGAGGAGAGUGGAAUUCCUGGUGUAGCGGUGAAAUGCGCAGAUAUCAGGAGGAACACCCGUGGCGAAAGCGGCUCUCUGGGACGGUACUGACGCUGAGACGCGAAAGCGUGGGGAGCGAACAGG
rnacentral:rRNA from 1 species